CAAAUGAGAGGAGUGGGAGGAGCGACUCCACAGAAAACAGUUUAAAAUGUUUUAAAUGCUAUCAAGGAAUACAGGCAUUAUUUAGAGGAAGGAAGAAAUGAAAAAAAUACUAUUGUAGGUUGCAAAAUUGAUUAUAAUGCAAGCAACAUCGAGUGUGCAAUUAGCGACAUAUUAAAACAAACCAAAAAAAUAAUGUUUUCGCUAGAUUGUAUUUAUAUAUUAGUAUAGUCAAAAA